ACGGAAGGCAGCAGUGGGGAAUAUUGGGCAAUGGGCGAAAGCCUGACCCAGCAACGCCGCGUGAAGGAAGAAGGUCCUCGGAUUGUAAACUUCUUUUAUCAGGGACGAAGAAAGUGACGGUACCUGAUGAAUAAGCCACGGCUAACUACGUGCCAGCAGCCGCGGUAAUACGUAGGUGGCGAGCGUUAUCCGGAUUUACUGGGUGUAAAGGGCGUGUAGGCGGAGCUGCAAGUCAGAUGUGAAAUCCCGGGGCUCAACCCCGGAACUGCAUUUGAAACUGUAGCCCUUGAGUAUCGGAGAGGCAAGCGGAAUUCCUAGUGUAGCGGUGAAAUGCGUAGAUAUUAGGAGGAACACCAGUGGCGAAGGCGGCUUGCUGGACGACAACUGACGCUGAGGCGCGAAAGCGUGGGGAGCAAACAGGAUUAGAUACCCUGGUA
rnacentral:rRNA from 1 species